rnacentral:lncRNA from 1 species
GCCUCCCGCCGCGCAGGCUCGGCGUUGGCCUCCGCGGCCCGUGCGAGUGCGCCCUUCUCGGGUCCCCUAGGUCGCGGGGCAGCCGGGGCGGAAGGGGCUUGUUCAUUAUUUUGAGAGUUUGUUGUGAACGUCAUAACCUUUCGUCCUUAAAUAUUGCCGAUACUUGACCUACGCAAGAGACAAUGUCAUGUGAUUCAGCCUAAUAUCUCAGAGGAUGCAGCAUUCAAGGUUCUAUCUUGGAAGCAGAGACUGUGCCCUCACCAGAUGCUGAACCUGCUGAGCACCCUGAUCUUCCACUUCACCUUCAUCAGAACUGUCUUUGAGGAAUUGUCACACUGUCUUCUGCAAUGGAUGAACUAAUUUACACUCUCAACAACAGUGUAUAAGCAUUCCUUUUGCUCUGCAACCUCACCAGACAUCUGUUUUCGUAUCAGGAUGAUGCUGGCCUCAUACAAUGAGUUAGGGACGCGCAUGAAAUUUGGUGCCGUGACUCGGAUCGGCGGACCUCCCUUAGGAGAUCAAUCCCCUGUCCUCCUGCUCUUUGCUCCAUGAGAAAGAUCCACCUACGACCUAAGGUCCUCAGACCAACCAGCCCAAGAAACAUCUCACCAAUUUCAAAUCCGAAAUCCUUCAUCUAAUCUGGCAAACACAUGUGGCAGGUUUUUCUCACCGCAUAAAAUAUGUUAUAGAGUAGUCCAUCUAUUUCUCUUCCAUGGAAGAGUUCAUCUGGUAGAUUGGACUACCACUUUUCCUUGAUGAGAGACGUUGAGCUCCAAACUCAGACUAAGAAACUAUAAGAAAUAUGCUUCAAUGAAGAAGCUGUUCAAAAAUGAGUAAGAUUGUUUCCUUGAGGCAAGAAAGAAAUGCAGAAGUCUUGACAAACAAAAGAAGAGAUUGCCUUAGGGAAGGGGACUACAGUGAACACUGAGAACUUCUUCCCACGCUAAGACAAUCUUUACAGAGCAAGACUCCGUCUCAAAAAAAAAAAAAAAAGUAAGCAUAAGAA